UCUGGCCUCAAAUCAAGUAGGACUACCCGCUGAACUUAAGCAUAUCAAUAAGCGGAAGGAAUUCUUAANUGAUUGACCUCUUCAGCUUGCUACAGGCACU
rnacentral:rRNA from 1 species